rnacentral:ncRNA from 1 species
AAAUUAUUUCUGGUUUUUUAUUUAUUAAAUGUUUAAAAUUAUAUGUAAAUUUUUAUAUAAAUAAGUUUAAUUUUUAAAUAAGUUAAUGAUUAAGAUAAUUAUAAUAAUUAAUUUUAAUAUUAAUUUUAAAUAAAUUUAAUUUUAGAAAUAUUAUUUUAAUUUUAAUUAAAAUUGUGCCAGCAAUAGCGGUUAAACAAUUGAUAUAAAUAAAUAUAAAUUUAAAUUUUAAAUAAAUUAUUAAAAAAAAAUAUAAAAUUUUUAAUUUAAUUAAAUAGGUAAAAUUAAAUAAUUGAAUUAAAUUUAUAAUAUUAAUAAUGUUUAAAAAAAUUUUUGAUAAAACUAGGAUUAGAUACCCUAUUAUUUAAAUUAAUAAUUUAAUUUAAUUAAAUUAGUAAAAUUAAAAUUUGAAAAUUAAAGAAUUUGACGGUAUUUAAAUCAAUUUAGAGGAAUUUGUUUGUUAAUUGAUAAUCCACAAUAUAAAUUACUUAUUUUAAUAUUUGUAUAUCGUUGUUAUAAAAAUAUUUAUUAAUAAUUUAAAAUAUUUAAAAAUUUAAAUUUAAAUUUAUAUCAAAUCAAGAUACAGUUUAUUAAUAAGAAUUAAAAUGAAUUACAAUAAGUUAAUUAUUUAUAAUAUUUUAAUUUAAAAUUAAUUUAUUAAAUUGGAUUUAAAUGUAAUUAAUAAUAGUUAUUAUUAAUGAUUAAUGUUUUUAAAUAAGUACAUAUUGCCCGUCACUCUUAUUAAUAUAAAUUAAGAUAAGUCGUAACAUAGUAGAAGUAUUGGAAAAUGUUUCUAGAAAUAUAUAUAUAUAUAUAAUUUAAUUA